rnacentral:rRNA from 1 species
CCUACGGGCGGCAGCAGUGGGGAAUAUUGGACAAUGGGCGAAAGCCUGAUCCAGCCAUGCCGCGUGUGUGAAGAAGGCCUUCGGGUUGUAAAGCACUUUCAGUGGGGAAGAAAGCCUUGGGGCUAAUACCCUCGAGGAAGGACAUCACCCACAGAAGAAGCACCGGCUAACUCCGUGCCAGCAGCCGCGGUAAUACGGAGGGUGCGAGCGUUAAUCGGAAUUACUGGGCGUAAAGCGCGCGUAGGCGGUCUGAUAAGCCGGUUGUGAAAGCCCCGGGCUCAACCUGGGAACGGCAUCCGGAACUGUCAGGCUAGAGUGCAGGAGAGGAAGGUAGAAUUCCCGGUGUAGCGGUGAAAUGCGCAGAGAUCGGGAGGAAUACCAGUGGCGAAGGCGGCCUUCUGGACUGACACUGACGCUGAGGUGCGAAAGCGUGGGUAGCAAACAGGAUUAGAUACCCCUGUAGUC